rnacentral:rRNA from 1 species
UUAAGCGACUAAGCGUACACGGUGGAUGCCCUGGCAGUCAGAGGCGAUGAAGGACGUGCUAAUCUGCGAAAAGCGCCGGCGAGGUGAUAUGAACCUUUGACCCGGCGAUGUCCGAAUGGGGAAACCCAGUGUGUUCCGACACACUAUCGUUAACUGAAUACAUAGGUUAACGAGGCGAACCGGGGGAACUGAAACAUCUAAGUACCCCGAGGAAAAGAAAUCAACCGAGAUUCCCCCAGUAGCGGCGAGCGAACGGGGAGCAGCCCAGAGUCUGAAUCAGCUUGUGUGUUAGUGGAAGCGUCUGGAAAGUCGCAGGGUACAGGGUGAUACUCCCGUACACGAAAACACACUUGCUGUGAACUCGAAGAGUAGGGCGGGACACGUGGUAUCCUGUCUGAAUAUGGGGGGACCAUCCUCCAAGGCUAAAUACUCCUGACUGACCGAUAGUGAACCAGUACCGUGAGGGAAAGGCGAAAAGAACCCCGGCGAGGGGAGUGAAAAAGAACCUGAAACCGUGUACGUACAAGCAGUGGGAGCCUACUUGUUAGGUGACUGCGUACCUUUUGUAUAAUGGGUCAGCGACUUAUAUUCUGUAGCAAGGUUAACCGUAUAGGGGAGCCGAAGGGAAACCGAGUCUUAACUGGGCGUUAAGUUGCAGGGUAUAGACCCGAAACCCGGUGAUCUAGCCAUGGGCAGGUUGAAGGUUGGGUAACACUAACUGGAGGACCGAACCGACUAAUGUUGAAAAAUUAGCGGAUGACUUGUGGCUGGGGGUGAAAGGCCAAUCAAACCGGGAGAUAGCUGGUUCUCCCCGAAAGCUAUUUAGGUAGCGCCUCGUGAACUCAUCUUCGGGGGUAGAGCACUGUUUCGGCUAGGGGGCCAUCCCGGCUUACCAACCCGAUGCAAACUACGAAUACCGAAGAAUGUUAUCACGGGAGACACACGGCGGGUGCUAACGUCCGUCGUGAAGAGGGAAACAACCCAGACCGCCAGCUAAGGUCCCAAAGUCAUGGUUAAGUGGGAAACGAUGUGGGAAGGCACAGACAGCCAGGAUGUUGGCUUAGAAGCAGCCAUCAUUUAAAGAAAGCGUAAUAGCUCACUGGUCGAGUCGGCCUGCGCGGAAGAUGUAACGGGGCUAAACCAUGCACCGAAGCUGCGGCAGCGACGCUUAUGCGUUGUUGGGUAGGGGAGCGUUCUGUAAGCCGUUGAAGGUGGCCUGUGAGGGUUGCUGGAGGUAUCAGAAGUGCGAAUGCUGACAUAAGUAACGAUAAUGCGGGUGAAAAGCCCGCACGCCGGAAGACCAAGGGUUCCUGUCCAACGUUAAUCGGGGCAGGGUGAGUCGACCCCUAAGGCGAGGCCGAAAGGCGUAGUCGAUGGGAAACAGGUUAAUAUUCCUGUACUUGGUGUUACUGCGAAGGGGGGACGGAGAAGGCUAUGUUAGCCGGGCGACGGUUGUCCCGGUUUAAGCAUGUAGGCGGGAGUUUUAGGUAAAUCCGGAACUCUUCUAACGCUGAGGUGUGAUGACGAGGCACUACGGUGCUGAAGUAACAAAUGCCCUGCUUCCAGGAAAAGCCUCUAAGCAUCAGGUAACAUCAAAUCGUACCCCAAACCGACACAGGUGGUCAGGUAGAGAAUACCAAGGCGCUUGAGAGAACUCGGGUGAAGGAACUAGGCAAAAUGGUGCCGUAACUUCGGGAGAAGGCACGCUGAUGUGUAGGUGAAGCCCCUGCGGGUGGAGCUGAAAUCAGUCGAAGAUACCAGCUGGCUGCAACUGUUUAUUAAAAACACAGCACUGUGCAAACACGAAAGUGGACGUAUACGGUGUGACGCCUGCCCGGUGCCGGAAGGUUAAUUGAUGGGGUUAGCGGCAACGCGAAGCUCUUGAUCGAAGCCCCGGUAAACGGCGGCCGUAACUAUAACGGUCCUAAGGUAGCGAAAUUCCUUGUCGGGUAAGUUCCGACCUGCACGAAUGGCGUAAUGA